UGGGGAAUAUUGGACAAUGGGCGCAAGCCUGAUCCAGCCAUGCCGCGUGGGUGAUGAAGGCCUUAGGGUUGUAAAGCCCUUUCGGCGGGGAAGAUAAUGACGGUACCCGCAGAAGAAGCCCCGGCUAACUUCGUGCCAGCAGCCGCGGUAAUACGAAGGGGGCUAGCGUUGCUCGGAAUUACUGGGCGUAAAGCGCACGUAGGCGGCUUGUUAAGUCGGGGGUGAAAUCCCGGAGCUCAACUCCGGAACUGCCUUCGAUACUGGCAAGCUCGAGCCCGGGAGAGGUGAGUGGAACUGCGAGUGUAGAGGUGAAAUUCGUAGAUAUUCGCAAGAACACCAGUGGCGAAGGCGGCUCACUGGCCCGGUACUGACGCUGAGGUGCGAAAGCGUGGGG
rnacentral:rRNA from 1 species